UAGAUGAAUACGCGUCUCUCAAGUCCUCAACACGCUCUCUGGCCCUCUUCACCUCCAUGACCAUCGAACCCCUCCAUGUCCCUAGUCGAUCUCCACCUCAUCGGCCUCCCUCUCGGAGCUCCUCCUGGCCGAGAUACUGCACCCAUGUUGCCGCCCUCAAUCCCCACGCCUGGUCGGAGGUGGAGUCACCGGUGAGGAACUUUGGCCCGUGAUUUGUUUUCUCUCCAUCCAACAGCCCACCACCAGCACAUCUCGCCGCGCCGCCUCGCCUAAUUCCCACCCUUUUCUCCCUCCGCGUCUGCGACGAGGUAACAUGGAGGAGAGCUUCAGGCGCACUCGCGAGGGGGACGACCUCGGGGAGGCACGCGACGAAGAACCCGACCCAGGAGGCGGCAUCCAAGGAAUGGCCUAGCGGGAAGGAGUGCGAGCGUGUCGGGUGCCGGACGAGGGCGCCGAGAAUAUGCUCACGGAGGACGCAGACGCCGCAGGCGAGCAGAUCCUUCAGCGCGGCGACGCACUUGAGGGCCAUGACGGCGUCGCCAUGGCCGGAAGCUGCUGCGCGCAGGCGCCCCGUGAGCGCGGACGCGAGCGCCGAGGCGGAGUCCGUCAGCGCGGAUGCGAGAGCUGAGGUGGAGAGGCGCGAUUCCCCGUGGAAAGCGAGGAGCGCACCCAUGGUGUGCACAAGCAGAACACAACCAUGUGAGGAUCCGCGGCAGGUCGACCUGCACGAAGGGACAGGCUCCCUCUCUUGGCCCUGGCUUCCGCGACCAAUACCAUCUACAGACUACAGUUAGGGAUGGAUCCGGCAAGGAUUUUACAAAACUGGGCGUAGUCUGCAACUACUGAACUACAUCAAUCACCCUUCAAUCCCAGUGGGUAGUGGCCAAGGAACAAAAAAAUGUCUUCCAUUUUGUCCUUUCUUUUCCUUUGUACUUGUGGAAUAAGUUAUGGGCAGGGAAGAACACGAGGUGCACGGAUUCAUCCUCUCAGUCCGGCAAGAUUUCAGUUUUCUGGUAAGCUUCCGCAUAGGGUGGGGUGACAGAAAAUCCAUAGAAAAUUGACCCUAAUAAGGAUGAUAUCGGUGGAUAUCAAAAGAACCUUCGGGGAUAUUGUUGAGGAGGUUCAAAAAGGCAGAGUUAGUGUAGAACCAAUGGUCGUGGAUACAAAAAUAUAUCAAUGCCUCAACACUUUCUGCCAUGGACAAUUUAUUUGGUUCUCCGUACCAUAAAACUAGCAUCAUUGUGGGCGUAUCAGGCCAAUGAAAUCCAAGAUGAUGGAAGCAAAAUGUAUCAAUGAGGAAUGGAAAAACUGUUUGAUAUAUAUCCAGAUGUUAGUCUUCUGUCUAUCUCUACUAGCAGCAGAGAAGAUUUUGUGUGGAAAAAAGAGGAGUACGGGUUUACUAUGAAGUUCCGCGCAGUAACCAUCUAUUUUAUCAGCUGAUGGUUUUAGCUGCUACAUCAACUUCUAAUGAGCACUUGAGUUCUGCUCCUUGAAAAGGUUCUAACCACAUAUCCAGAGUAUGGACUAUAACUCUUUGUAAGCGGCGUGCCAUCAUGUUGACGGAAUCGUAAGUAUAGUCCAUGUGUAUUGCAUAAAUAUGUUUCAUACUGUCUAAGAGUAUAGGUUUUAUGAACCUAAGUUUGUAAAUUCUGAAUGCCCACACUUCGCUAUCUACCUAUCUAGCUUACUUCCGGUUACUACAAAGGCUUACUUGAUACUAUGACGAUCACUGGCAACGGAAGAAUUUACAUCAUUUGUAUGGUUUAAGUUA